AAGGAUUGUGGGCUAAUCUAGUUACUGAAGUUUCUGACAGUCAGAUAUCAAAAUGAAAGUAGCUAUCGUCCUCCUUGUUCUCUUGCCAUUGGCUUUCUGCAACCCAAUAUCUGAUCUACUCCACACAUUACAAAAGGAUAUUCAUCUUGAUGUAAUCAAGGAAAAUGUUAACAAAAUUGCUGCUCAAAUCGGAAGUGACGGUACUGAAGCUCAAUGUGAAACCGAAUGUCAUAAAAUCGCCACCCAAGCCAUCCUUGAUUCUGGCUGUGCUUUCUUCUGUAAAGGAUUUCAAUCCUUGGUUGGCCACUUCCAUCUUGGUUAAAUGAAAUAAAUAGUUGAACGAAAAUAUAUUGUGGUUGUGUAUAAUUUGUUUAAUGAAAUAAAUAGUUGAAAGAAAA